rnacentral:rRNA from 1 species
UAAGAAAUGCAAGUCGAGCGAGGCCAUGGAGCUUGCUCCGGAAGCCUAGCGGCGAACGGUCGCGUAACACGUAAGCAACCUGCCCCAAAGUUUGGGAUAGCCCUCCGAAAGGGGGAUUAAUACCGGAUGUGGAUGUCGAUAUGCAUGUAUUGACAUCUAAAGCAUUUAUGCGCUUUGGGAUGGGCUUGCGGCCUAUCAGCUAGUUGGUGAGGUAACGGCUCACCAAGGCGACGACGGGUAGCUGGUCUGAGAGGAUGGUCAGCCGGACUGGGACUGAGACACGGCCCAGACUCCUACGGGGGGCAGCAAUUAGGAAUCUUGCGCAAUGGGCGAAAGCCUGACGCAGCGACGUCGCGUGAACGAUGAAGUCUUUCGGGAUGUAAAGUUCUUUUCUGAGGGAAGAAGGAUGUGACGGUACCUCAGGAAUAAGCCCCGGCUAACUACGUGCCAGCAGCCGCGGUAAUACGUAGGGAGCAAGCGUUGUUCGGAUUUACUGGGCGUAAAGGGUGUGUAGGUUGCUUGGUAAGUCAGUUGUGAAAUCCUUACUGCUCAACAGAAGAAUUGCAAUUGAUACUACCAGGCUAGAGUUCGGUAGAGGAGAGCGGAAUUCUCGGUGUAGCGGUGAAAUGCGUAGAUAUCGAGAAGAACACCAGUGGCGUAGGCGGCUCUCUAGCCCGAUACUGACACUGAAACACGAAAGCGUGGGUAGCGAACGGGAUUAGAUACCCCGGUAGUCCACGCCGUAAACGAUGGGUACUAGGUGCAGGUGGUAUCGAUCCCUUCUGUGCCGAAGCAAACGCGUUAAGUACCCCGCCUGGGGAGUACGGCCGCAAGGCUAAAACUCAAAGGAAUAGACGGGGGCCCGCACAAGCGGUGGAGCAUGUGGUUUAAUACGACGCAACGCGUAGAACCUUACCAGGGCUUGACAUGCUGGUGGUACUGGCUCCGAAAGGAGACAGGACCCUUCGGGGAGCCAACACAGAUGUUGCACGGCUGUCGUCAGCUCGUGUCGUGAGAUGUUGGGUUAAGUCCCGCAACGAGCGCAACCCUUGUCCUUAGUUGCCAGCAGGUAAUGCUGGGGACUCUAAGGAGACUGCCUGUGAUAAGCAGGAGGAAGGUGAGGAUGACGUCAAGUCAUUGUGGCUCUUACGCCCUGGGCUACACACGUGCUACAAUGGUCGAUACAAUGGGUAGCAAUGCCGCGAGGUGGAGCCAAUCCCCAAAAGUCGGCCUCAGUUCGGAUUGGAGUCUGCAACUCGACUCCAUGAAGUCGGAAUCGCUAGUAAUGGCGCAUCAGCUACGGCGCCGUGAAUACGUUCCCGGGCCUUGUACUCACCGCCCGUCACAUCACCUGAGUUG